CAAGACUAUGGCUUCAGGGACCAGAAGACCUGGCAGAGGGCAAGUGUGGGAUGAGGACUGAGGGGGAUGUGGACAUCUGUGAGUGAAAAAAAAAACCAACAACCUGUUCUCCAGAUAAUCCAUCAGGCCCUGGUAGUAAUACUGGGCUCCAGUGAAGGUCCAGGCAGUGGAAACAAGGAGGACCAACACCAGCUUCAUUGUGAGCCGAUCAACAGGACACC